rnacentral:rRNA from 1 species
CCUACGCGUGGCAGCAGUGAGUAAUAUUUGUCAAUGUACGAGAGUCUUAACCAGCCCAGUAGCGUGAAGGAUGCCUGCCAUAUUGGUUGUAAACUUCUUUUAUAAAAGAAUAACACGAGGCACGUGUGCCUUUUUGCAUGUACUUUAUGAAUAAGGAUCGGCUAACUCCGUGCCAGCAGCCGCGGUAAUACGGAGGAUCCGAGCGUUAUCCGGAUUUAUUGGGUUUAAAGGGAGCGGAGAUGGGUUGUUAAGUCAGUUGUGAAAGUUUGCGGAUCAACCGUAAAAUUGCAAUUGAUACUGGCAGUCUUGAGUACAGUUGAGGUAGGCGGAAUUCGUGGUGUAGCGGUGAAAUGCUUAGAGAUCACGAAGAACCCCGAGUGCGAAGGCAGCUUACUAAACUGUGACUGACAUUGAUGCUCGAAAGUGUGGGUAUCAAACAGGAUUAGAUACCCUAGUAGUC